rnacentral:rRNA from 1 species
CAGCAGCCACGGGAAUACGUAGGGUGCAAGCGUUAAUCGGAAUUACUGGGCGUAAAGCGUACGCAGGUGGUCCGCUAAGACAGAUGUGAAAUCCUCGGGCUUAACCUGGGAACUGCAUUUGUGACUGGCGGGCUAGAGUAUGGCAGAGGGGGGUAGAAUUCCACGUGUAGCAGUGAAAUGCGUAGAGAUGUGGAGGAACACCGAUGGCGAAGGCAGCCCCCUGGGCCUGUACUGACGCUCAUGCACGAAAGCGUGGGGAGCAAACAGGAUUAGAUACCCCAGUAGUCCCUGUCUCUUAUAC